GUAGAGAUUCCGGCGAUAUAUUGCAUAAACAAGCUUUCUAUAACAAGAAGUAGAAGGCGGAGGUGCUUCUAGGCCCCAACUGGGUCAUGGGUUUCGAAGUGAUCUAUUUAAGAUGGUUGCAGAUAUGAAGCCUGCAUUUAUCAGAUUUCCAGGUUUAUCUAUACUAUAUAGGAAGAUGAAGAGAGAGAGGAAUGAUGAUAUUGAAAACUGAACAAAUGUUUUGUGAAACUGGAGAGAAGUGGCCUGAUAUUAUCCCAGAGGAAGAUAGUUCCAAGUGGUGCAUCAGGUGACGAUUAAUGGUUGGGCUUGCAAGGUGGUGUUGAAGCUGUGGAUUCGAGUUUUUGACUGAUUUAGAAGGAAAAGGGUUAUUUUUUCUUCAGAGUAAAAGCUUUGGUCAACUGAGCCAAUUCAGUCAACCAAGCCAAAUUUGGUCAACUUAGCCAAUUCAGCCAAAUUUGGUCAACUGAGCUAAAUUUGGUCAAUUGAUGUCAGUUUACGAGACCGAUUUGUGGGGGUUGCAAAGGUGAAGUAUUCCUGUGCAGUCUCCAUGGCGCGUCUUUUGUGUGGAUCAUUAUAACCGGCAGAGCACAUUUAACAUGAUUAUAUAUCUUGACCAUAGAGCCACAUGGAUGGUGGCGAUAGAGGUUGGAGCAUGUUUAGUGGUCUAUUGCAAUCAUUUUGAUCACUACUGUUCAUAAGAUAUUAUGGUGGAAACGAGCACAUCGAUGAACUGGAAACACUUUGUCAAAAGAUGGCCUUAGCAGCGUUUCACUUGGAUGAAAAUAAUGUUCAACUGUUAUCUGGUUCACCUGCUAAUUUUGAGGUUUAUAGGCUGUUCUUAAACCCCAUGACCGCAUAAUGGGACUUGACUUGCCUCAUGGGGGACACUUGUCUCAUGGAUUCAUGAGACCCAAACGAAGGGUUUCGGGAACAUCCAUAUAAUUUGAAUCGAGGGAGGAAGUGCUUGGGAAGCCGUUGAGUUGAGCCGAGAGACACGAGCUUGUUAAACGACAUGUUUCGAGUAACCGACAGGUUAAUCUUGGAAGGGAUGGGUUAACACAUAAUAUGUUGGAGCAGAUUCUUUCGCAUUGGCGAAGGGAUCCGGUUUGUAAGGUGCGGUGUCUUGGCGUUCCGACUGUUGACAUGCGAAACCUCUAUCGCGUUUUGCAGGUAGCACAUAUAGUAUAAAAGUUUGUUGGGCUAGAUGGUAAAACUACUGAGAAAAGGAGGGCUAUGCUGAAACAUGUGGCAGAUUUGGAGGGUUGCAACUGUAACUGGGCUCUACGUGCAAGGGACUAAGGAGGUAUAUAUUAAAUGAUGUACCACACUUAUGUAUUUCAUAUGUUUUUUAGUUUAGACCAUAGAGUGUUUCCUGUUAUAUUGAUUGUUAUCUGCAAGUAAUAUAAGAUUAGUUAC
rnacentral:lncRNA from 1 species